ACAGGCAGUGGAGUAUGUGGUUUAAUUCGAAGCAACGCGAAGAACCUUUACCAGGGCUUGACAUCCCUUGAAGCAGCUAGAGAUAGCUGUGUCCUUCGGGACAAGGAGACAGGUGGUGCAUGGUUGUCGUCAGCUCGUGUCGUGAGAUGUUGGGUUAAGUCCCGCAACGAGCGCAACCCCUGUGGUUAGUUGCCAGCAAGUAGCGUUGGGCACUCUAGCCAGACUGCCGGUGAUAAAUCGGAGGAAGGUGGGGACGACGUCAAAUCAUCAUGCCCUUUAUGUCCUGGGCUACACACGUACUACAAUGGCCGUUACAACGGGAAGCGAAGGAGCAAUCCGGAGCAAAUCCCUUAAAGGCGGUCCCAGUUCAGAUUGUGGGCUGAAACUCGCCCACAUGAAGGCGGAAUUGCUAGUAAUUGCAGAUCAGCAUGCUGCAGUGAAUACGUUCCCGGGCCUU
rnacentral:rRNA from 1 species